rnacentral:rRNA from 1 species
UACGUAGGUGGCAAGCGUUAUCCGGAUUUAUUGGGCGUAAAGGGAACGCAGGCGGUCUUUUAAGUCUGAUGUGAAAGCCUUCGGCUUAACCGGAGUAGUGCAUUGGAAACUGGGAGACUUGAGUGCAGAAGAGGAGAGUGGAACUCCAUGUGUAGCGGCGAAAUGCGUAGAUAUAUGGAAGAACACCAGUGGCGAAAGCGGCUCUCUGGUCUGUAACUGACGCUGAGGUUCGAAAGCGUGGGUAGCAAACAGG